rnacentral:rRNA from 1 species
CAGGUGAGCCUGCGGUUUAAUCGGACUCAACGCCGGGAAACUCACCAGAUAAGACAGCUGAAUGAUAGUCGGGCUGAAGACUCUACUUGACUAGCUGAGAGGAGGUGCAUGGCCGUCGUCAGUUCGUACUGUGAAGCAUCCUGUUAAGUCAGGCAACGAGCGAGACCCACGCCAACAGUUGCCAGCUCGUCCUCCGGGAUGGUGGGGACACUGUUGGGACCGCCUCUGCUAAAGAGGAGGAAGGAAUGGGCAACGGUAGGUCAGCAUGCCCCGAAUUAUCUGGGCUACACGCGGGCUACAAUGGGUGGGACAAUGGGUAUCGACACCGAAAGGUGAAGGCAAUCUCCUAAACCCAUCCGUAGUUCGGAUUGUGGGCUGCAACUCGCCCACAUGAAGCUGGAAUCUGUAGUAAUCGUGUCUCAAAAUGGCACGGUGAAUAUGUCCCUGCUCCUU